GCCAGAAGUGGAAGACCGGCAACGGUUUGUGAGCUGACUGGUACUAAUAGGCCAACA
rnacentral:rRNA from 1 species